CAGGACGAACGCUGGCGGCGUGCCUAACACAUGCAAGUCGAGCGAUGAAAUCCUUCGGGAUGGAUUAGCGGCGGACGGGUGAGUAACACGUGGGUAACCUGCCUUGUAGAGGGGGAUAGCCUUCCGAAAGGAAGAUUAAUACCGCAUAACAUCUUUUUAUCGCAUGGUAGAAAGAUCAAAGGAGUAAUCCGCUACAAGAUGGACCCGCGGCGCAUUAGCUAGUUGGUGAGGUAACGGCUCACCAAGGCGACGAUGCGUAGCCGACCUGAGAGGGUGAUCGGCCACAUUGGAACUGAGACACGGUCCAGACUCCUACGGGAGGCAGCAGUGGGGAAUAUUGCGCAAUGGGGGGAAAAACCCCUGACGCAGCAACGCCGCGUGAAUGAAGAAGGCCUUAGGGUUGUAAAGUUCUGUUUACGGGGACGAUAAUGACGGUACCCGUGGAGGAAGCCACGGCUAACUACGUGCCAGCCGCAGC
rnacentral:rRNA from 1 species